rfam:Yersinia pestis CO92 complete genome
AUCAGACGGCAGCAACGAAAUGUCGAAAGAUAGCAAAAGAAUCAGU